GACGAACGCUGGCGGCGUGCUUAACACAUGCAAGUCGAACGAAGUGGCGAACGGGUGAGUAACGCGUAAUCAACCUGCCCUUCAGAGGGGGACAACAGUUGUAAACGACUGCUAAUCCCGCAUACUGAAGGAGGGGCUUGCGUGUGAUUAGCUAGUUGGCGGGGUAACGGCCCACCAAGGCGAUGAUCAGUAGCCGGUUUGAGAGGAGGAACGGCCACAGUGGGACGGAGACACGGCCCAGACGCCGACGGGAGGCAGCAGUGGGGAAUCUUUCGCAAUGGACGAAAGUCUGACGGAGCAACGCCGCGGGAGUGAGGACGGCCUUCGGGUUGGAAAGCUCUGUUAAUCGGGACGCGGUACCGGAAUAGAAAGCCACGGCUAACUACGUGCCAGCAGCCGCGGUAAUUC
rnacentral:rRNA from 1 species